ensembl:lncRNA
GUUGAUGAGUCAUGCAAUGAAUUUAUUUCCCUUCUCACACUGUGGCAAACAUAUACCCCGGCCUAGGCAAUAAAUGGGCCAAAUAACUCCUGAAAACAGAGAAGGAAAAAUGCGUACAGACCGAGGCUAUUUUCAACAUUUCAAUAAAAAAUGAAGCAGAAGGAAUGACAUUAAAUAAUUCAUUAAAAUAAUAACAUAGUCUAAGAAACCUGAGUGUUCUUUAGCACUCUAGACUUCAGGUGAAUGAUUACACAGUUCACCUCGAUAUGGAGACCAGACUCUGGUGUCCGCGUGUGCAGAUACAGCACCUUUGUUCAUGUCCCACCCGCAUGGUUAAGAUGCUAACGCCACUACGAGGACUCUCCAUCACACUGGGGCCAGCCUGCCAUGAAUCCAGGAGGCCUGCAUGUGACAACUAUUGUUGCCUCAAUAAUGAAGAGAAAAGAAAGGGAACGCCAUUGCUCUUGUGGCAAAUAGGUUCUUGAGUUACAAUGGAGCUCAAAUGUUUUCGUCUACAGCUGCUUCCCUGAGCCUGAAAAGUGCAUUCAGAGUAAUAUUAAAAGAUUGAAGGGUCCCGAUACAUAUAAGCAAUGGAUUUGUUUUCUUACAAUUUUGGUUAUGUUUUAAAUGUACAAAUUCAAAGUCCACCCUUUCUUAAAUGAACAAGGAAAGACGCAAAAGUAAAUAAGUAAGCAGUAAGUAAGUGAUUUGCAAAAGACAAAUUUUAUUUGAGCAAAUUGAUAGAUUGGUGAAAUACAUCACAUUUAUACAAAACUUAGGGCACAUUAAUUUGAAUAUUGGAACAUAUUAUCUUUUACUUGCAAUGUCCAAUUUACAUUUCAUUGUAUUUUUCCCGGUUGAACAAACCAAAAAUAGCUUUUGCCAGUUCUGUUUUCAGGCAGUAUGUAGAUAGCAAACCAACUAAAACCCAAAAUGUUUUCCCUGUGGGCCAGAGAACAGGGCUAUUAUUGGAACAUAAUCAUUUCCCACGUUUCCAUGAAGUGUACCCCGUCCCACCGUGCCUUUGUCUUGCUCUUGUGUUUCCUCUCUGUGACGUCAGUCUGCAGCUGAUGGGACCAGCCCCUUCUUGGCACCCUGGUGGCACUGACUCUCCAGCUUCCUAGGGGGAGGGAGAGAGGGAGAGUUGUUGACGUUCUCACUUGUUUGUAUUCACAUUUUAUUAUUUUUCAUUUAAGUUAUCUCUACUGAUCUGUGUUAAUGUUUAUUACAGCCGAAGCACAAGUCUUAGUAGUAUAUUUUUCCAUAUUCUUAUUUCUAUAUUAAAUUGCAAUGCUUCAAUAUGAGAGCUGUGUUUCUUAAUUCUAGUAUUUAUUUCGUUAUAAGUGUAUUUUGUUUAUUAUUUCACACUUGCUUUGGUAUUGUAAACAUAUGUUUCCCAUUCCAUAAAGCUCCUAAGAAUUGAAUUUCACAUUGAGAGGGAGUGAAAGUGAGCGAGAUGGGGA